rnacentral:lncRNA from 1 species
GUAUGUUUAUUAUUUUCUCAGAUAAUCAUACAAUAGGUACGUGCCUGAAUUUGCAGGUGCGGCGACGAAUCAAACUUCCAUCGACACGUCGAAUCAAUCCUCCAUCGACACGUCGAAUCAGACCUCCAUCGACACGUCGAAUCAGACCUCCAUCAAUUCAACUGCGCACAAUACAACUCCAAAAGCACCCAUCGACUUUGUUCCCUUGAAGACAAAUUCAUGGAAGGCUGCUGGAAAGACGUACUAC